UACGUAGGGUGCUAGCGUUAUCCGGAAUUACUGGGCGUAAAGGGUGCGUAGGUGGUCUGUCAAGUCGGUGGUAAAAGGCUACGGCUCAACCGUAUUAAGCCGCCGAAACUGGAAGACUUGAGUGCAGGAGAGGAAAGUGGAAUUCUUAGUGUAGCGGUGAAAUGCGUAGAUAUUAGGAGGAACACCAGUAGCGAAGGCGGCUUUCUGGACUGUAACUGACGCUGAGGCACGAAAGCGUGGGUAGCAAACAGG
rnacentral:rRNA from 1 species